AGUGAACGCUGGCGGUAGGCCUAACACAUGCAAGUCGAACGGCAGCACAGUAAGAGCUUGCUCUUACGGGUGGCGAGUGGCGGACGGGUGAGGAAUACAUCGGAAUCUACUUUUUCGUGGGGGAUAACGUAGGGAAACUUACGCUAAUACCGCAUACGACCUACGGGUGAAAGCAGGGGAUCUUCGGACCUUGCGCGAUUGAAUGAGCCGAUGUCGGAUUAGCUAGUUGGCGGGGUAAAGGCCCACCAAGGCGACGUUCCGUAGCUGGUCUGAGAGGAUGAUCAGCCACACUGGAACUGAGACACGGUCCAGACUCCUACGGGAGGCAGCAGUGGGGAAUAUUGGACAAUGGGCGCAAGCCUGAUCCAGCCAUACCGCGUGGGUGAAGAGGGCCUUCGGGUUGUAAAGCCCUUUUGUUGGGAAAGAAAAGCAGCAGGUUAAUACCCCGCUGUUCUGACGGUACCCAAAGAAUAAGCACCGGCUAACUUCGU
rnacentral:rRNA from 1 species